rnacentral:rRNA from 1 species
GAUGAACGCUGGCGGCGUGCCUAAUACAUGCAAGUCGAGCGAACGGACGAGAAGCUUGCUUCUCUGAUGUUAGCGGCGGACGGGUGAGUAACACGUGGAUAACCUACCUAUAAGACUGGGAUAACUUCGGGAAACCGGAGCUAAUACCGGAUAAUAUUUUGAACCGCAUGGUUCAAACGUGAAAGACGGUCUUGCGGUCACUUAUAGAUGGAUCCGCGCUGCAUUAGCUAGUUGGUAAGGUAACGGCUUACCAAGGCAACGAUGCAGAGACGACCUGAGAGGGUGAUCGGCCACACUGGAACUGAGACACGGCCCAGACUCCUACGGGAGGCAGCAGUAGGGAAUCUUCCGCAAGGGGCGAAAGCCUGACGGAGCAACGCCGCGUGAGUGAUGAAGGUCUUCGGAUCGUAAAACUCUGUUAUUAGGGAAGAACAUAUGUGUAAUUAACUGUGCACAUCUUGACGGUACCUAAUCAGAAAGCCACGGCUAACUACGUG